rnacentral:rRNA from 1 species
ACGUCAAGUCAGCAUGGCCUUUAUAUCCAGGGCGACACACACGCUACAAUGGCCGGUACAAUGGGCAGCGAAGUCGCGAGGCGGAGCGAAUCCAGAAAGCCGGUCGUAGUUCGGAUUGCAGGCUGCAAUUCGACUCCAUGAAGGCGGAAUCGCUAGUAAUCGCGGAUCAGCACGCCGCGGUGAAUACGUUCCCGGGCCUU